rnacentral:lncRNA from 1 species
GGAAAAUAAAUAAAUUUCGUGUAUACUGUUAGCUAGAAGUAGAAGGAAGCUGAAGUAGCUUUAACAUAGACUGCUAAUUGCAUAGUAAUUACAUAAAAUACAAGUCUUAGUAAUAACCAGGUUUUUAUAGCUGAGAAACGUUGUACUACUUGUUAAGUACUAUGUUUUUCACCUAAUAUAAUCAAAGACAUAGGCAUAAUUACUUUUAGGUAGCAUAUAGGGAACUAGACCACCACUGAGGGUGGUGGGAUGUUUGGAAUUCAUCCUCUCAAACUUCCACACAUGACAUAUAACACAUUUGCGGGUGUUCCUUUCUUUCUCGGUUGUUGCAACAUCUUGACAAAUAUUCAUCAUCAAUGUCUUAGAGGGUUUAUUUCUUUCUCAAACGUAACCUGCCUAAGCUGUCCAAAAUUGUCUUAAAUUUCAACUUUUUUCACUCUUUUUUCUUCCUUGUCAAAGACUUAUGAAACCAUGCCCCAUUCAUCAUGCUGUUUUGUGUGUGUGUGUUUCUGCAGUGGGCGAAUUAUUUGACUUUCCUUGAUCUAG